ACUCCUGCUGGUGUUCAGUCAGUAGGGCAUGAGACUCUUAAUCUCAGGGUCAUGGGCUACGAGUCCCAUGUUGGGCA